rnacentral:lncRNA from 10 species
CUGGAAGAGAAAUGUGGUGAGUCACCCCAGGCCUGACAGAUUCACUCAGACCUGGUCCUUCUGCUCCUAGGCUGAGCCAUCUCUCAGGGACCCUCCUGCCCUCCUUCACCUCUCACCUGGCCUGCCCCAACCAGUUCUCCAGGCAAGCCCAAACCAGUUCCACCUGGUUUGUGACUGUGUUUGGAAAGAGGGUCUUUGCCGAGGUAAUUAAGUUAAAAUGAGGUCAUGUGAGUGGGCCCUGAGCCAGUCUGAUGGGUGUCCUUACAGGAAGACAUUAGGACUCCCAGAGGGUGACUCCAGGGGCAGGUGGCUUGGAGGACUGGCCGUGCAAGGAGGCAGCAAAGGGGCGGCCAUCUGCAAGCUGAGGGCAGAGGCCUUGGAGGAAGCAGCCCUGCCAGUGCUGGUAACGCCUGCAGGUCGGAAGUCCAAACCAAGGUGCUGGAAGGGCUGGUUCCUUCCGGACCCUUCAGGGGAGAAUCUUUCUGCCUCUUUGGCUUCUUGAGGCCCCUUCCUGGCAUUGCUUCUUUCUCCACUGACUCCUACCAUCAGCGCUGAGUCCUGCCUGCCUCUUAUAAGGUACUUCUUUGAUCUUCAGAGGCCACCUGGGAUGUCAGAAGCUUCCAGGAACCAGGAGGUAGCUGCAUCUCCUGUCCCUUCCCUGAGUCACCUUGCUGGACUCCACAGUGUGGUGCAGACAAGAAGCUGCAGGGGACAACAUGGAAGGAAGCGGGGAUGGAGGAGAUGGAAUGGGAUGGGCUCUGGGCCCGGCCAAGCAGAGCAGGAUAGGGCUGAGAGUCAUCUGAGCACAGGUGGUUCAAAUGGCAGAGAAGCUCCACGCUGGAGCGGGGAAGAGCUUGGGCUUUCCGGCCAGAAAGCGCAGGUUUUGGCCACGGCUCUUCUGCCACUCACUAGAUGUGGGAGUUUGGAGGCGUUACCCGAGCUCUGAGCCUUACUUUCCUCAUCUGAAAAAUGGGAAUAAUGGUAGGGUUAAAUUAAACCAAAUUUGGUCUGAGGAUGCCUCUGCACUUUGAGUCCAACUGCGACCUUAGCAGCAAAUGAACUGCAGGCCUAGCUUAGGAGUGUACUUUUGUAAGAAAUAGCCGAGUCUUAGCCAAUCACAGCAGCUGAGCUUCUAUAAAUCGCAGGUGGCUGCUGAGUAGUCCAUGUUCAAACACGGCAAACCAAGCUGUGACCAAUGAGCUGUCUCUGCAGCUCACUUCCAUUUUCUGUCUAUAAACACUCCCUGCCCACACUGUGGAGUGGAGCUCAGCCCUUGGAACCUCUUCUGGUCUGAGGGCUGCCCACUUCAUGAAUCCUUUGCUUAAUUAAACUCAAUUCAU